rnacentral:rRNA from 1 species
GAUGAACGCUGGCGGCGUGCUUAACACAUGCAAGUCGAACGAUGAAGCCCAGCUUGCUGGGUGGAUUAGUGGCGAACGGGUGAGUAACACGUGAGUAACCUGCCCUUAACUCUGGGAUAAGCCUGGGAAACUGGGUCUAAUACCGGAUAGGAGCGUCCACCGCAUGGUGGGUGUUGGAAAGAUUUAUCGGUUUUGGAUGGACUCGCGGCCUAUCAGCUUGUUGGUGAGGUAAUGGCUACCCAAGGCGACGACGGGUAGCCGGCCUGAGAGGGUGACCGGCCCCAAUGGGGCUGAGACACGGCCCAGACUCCAACGGGAGGCAGCAGGGGGGAAUAUGGCACACAGGGCGAAAGCCUGAUGCAGCGACGCCGGGUGAGGGAUAACGGCCUGCGGGUGGUAGACCUCUUUCAGUGGGGAAGAAGCGAAAGUGACGGUAACUGCAGAAGAAGCACCGGCUAACUACGUG